CACAGACAUCCGCCCGAGAACUACGAGCACAAACGCUUAAAACUCUAAGGACUUGGCGGUGCCCUAAACCCACCUAGAGGAGCCUGUUCUAUAAUCGAUAACCCACGAUCCACCCGACCACUUCUUGCCAAAACAGCCUACAUACCGCCGUCCCCAGCCCACCUCUAUGAGAGUACAAUAGUGAGCUCAAUAGCCCACACCCCGCUAAUAAGACAGGUCAAGGUAUAGCCUACGAAGUGGUAGAAAUGGGCUACAUUUUCUAAAAUAGAACACCCAACGAAAGGGGGUCUGAAACCUGCCCCAAGAAGGCGGAUUUAUCAGUAAAGCGGGACA
rnacentral:rRNA from 1 species